CCUACGGGAGGCAGCAGUGGGGGAUAUUGCACAAUGGGGGGAACCCUGAUGCAGCGACGCCGCGUGGGUGAAGAAGCGCCUCGGCGCGUAAAGCCCUGUCAGCAGGGAAGAACAUGACGGUACCUGACUAAGAAGCCCCGGCUAACUACGUGCCAGCAGCCGCGGUAAUACGUAGGGGGCAAGCGUUAUCCGGAUUUACUGGGUGUAAAGGGUGCGCAGACGGCGGUGCAAGUCAGAAGUGAAAGCCCAGGGAGUAACCCCGGGACUGCUCUGUGAACUGCGUGGCUGGAGUGCAGGAGGGGCAAGCGGAAUUCCUGGUGUAGCGGUGAAAUGCGUAGAUAUCAGGAGGAACACCGGUGGCGAAGGCGGCCUGCUGGACUGUAACUGACGUUGAGGCCCGAAAGCGUGGGGAGCAAACAGGAUUAGAUACCCUGGUAGUC
rnacentral:rRNA from 1 species